rnacentral:lncRNA from 1 species
GCCCUGGAACUCUGGCCCAAGGCUCUCUGACUCCUUCCCAGAUCUUCUCGGCUUAGCAGCUGAAGACUGAGACUGCCCGAUUGCCUCGAAAGCCUACAGGACCAUCACAGACUCUCUGGGUAACUCACAGUGGAAGACUGUAAUCCCCCUGCCUUCUAUCAAGGUGAAAUGUUAACAAGUUUAAAUAUCCAGCGGUGCUCUUCCUUCCUUGGAUGAAACUUUCUAAGCUCUAUCACUUGUUUAUAGGUCUGGAGAAAUACAAUGAUCCUGAAGAAAACCUGAGCUUAUGUGAAGCAACUUUGUUUUCCUUUGACAAACUCCCAUUUCCAACACCAGAAUCCAACUGCAAGGAAAUGAAGCAUAAACAGCUGAAUUUAGAAAUCUUCUAAUUCUGAUUUUUUUAUUUUUGUUUUUGAGACAAAGUCUUGUCCUGUGGCCCAGGCUGGAGUGCAAUAGUGUGAUUAUAGCUCACUGCAGCCUCGAACUCCUGGUCUCAAGUGAUCCUCCCACCUCAGCCUCCCAAGUAGCUGGGACUACAGGCAAGAGUCACCAUGCCUAGCUACUUUUUUUUAUUUUUGUAAAGAUGGAAUCUUGCUAUGUUGCCCAGGCUGGUCUCCAACUCCUGGCCUAAACAAUCCUCCCACCUUAGCUUCCCAAAGUGCUGGAAUUAUAGACAUAAGCCACCAUUCCCAGCCUAAUUCAUAUUUUUAAGCAGGAAGCAUAGUCUACCUUAUAACUCCUAUGCUCUUCUUCCAAAACCUUUACCCUGUAGUUUAUGAACUGCGAUGAAGGACCAAGUAUAUCUCCAUUCUAACAGCACAUUAUAAUGUCCACACAAUAUAUAAAUAAAAGAAAAGCAGGCCGGUCACGGUGGCUCACACCUGUAAUUCCAGCACUUUCAGAAGCCAAAGUGGGUGGAUCACUUGAGGCCAGGAGUUGAAGACCAGCCUGGCCAAAAUGGUGAAACCCCGUCUCUACUAAAAAUAUAAAAAUUAGCCAAGUGAUGGUGGCACAUGCCUGUAAUUCCAGCUACUUGGGAGGCUGAGGCAGGAGAAUCACUUGAACCUGGGAGGCAGAGGUUGCAGUGAGCCAAGAUCAUGCCACUGCACUCCAGCCUGGACAACAGAGCGAGACUCCAUCUCAAAAAAAAUAAAAAGAAAAAAAGAAAGGCAAUGUGGUACCAUGCCUUAGGAUCGUACAUACGUCACCCAACUCGCUUACCUACUGUAAUGGACGUUUGUUGCUCUUGCUUGUACGGCACUCUUUUUCUAGAUCUUCCUUUGGACAACCGCCUCCUCCCUGCCUUCAUUCCUGUGGUUUGGUGAAGCUGACACUUCUCCCAGCUAUAGGGAGGGGCGUGAGCCACAGGCCAAAGUCAAUCAGUGCAUUCCAUCCACCAGCCCAGAGACUGAAUCAGCAAAGGUCCCAGAGCUCCACUUGGGCCAAUGGCAGUCAGGCCAAGGACUUUGUGGAACUGUUGCUCAGAGGACAGGUACUCACCUUGCACUGAAACUGGAGUGAUGGGAGUAUGAACCUGGGGCUACUAACAGCCAUCUUGCCCCAGAAGGAAGUACUUCCCUAAGUUUAAUGCCUACCCAGAGGAGGGCAGAGCAGAUAGACAAGAGACAGGGUUCUGGGGUCAACUGUGUCUGAAGUCAGAGACAUGAAAUAAAUUUCGUUUUUUGCUCAGCCCCUUGGAACACAGCAGUAGCUUUACACAAUGCUAUCUGCCCCUUGCAACAAAGCAGUAAUUUCACUACUUGAGGGAUGGAAAAGAUGUACCAUAAAAGACACAGAGGCGAUAGACAAAAGGGAAGUAAGAUUCAGGUCUUGCACAGAAACUGAGCCUUGAUUUUCCGCAGAAUAUACUGUGACCAAGCCUCCUGCAGGGCUGCCUGUACGUUAAAGAAAUGGAAGCGUCUUGAAUCGUGUCCAUCGUCCCUCCUUUACACAAAGUAAUCACCUCCAGCUGGGCCAAGUUGAUUGAGGAAACGUUCAGUUUUCACAUGAUUUUGCUGUAGCACCAUAAUGAAUGUAUUUCUUUGAUGGAAGAAAGAAGCUUCAUGAAAUAAACUGCUUAAGGAUUUGAAGUUGGAGCUGAAAACAUGGGCUGCUUUGUUCUUAAUGACAACUGCUUUGCCAUCUAAAACAUUUCUCCUUUUUGAAGGAUCUGUCUUUUCUCUUCCAGCCACAACCCUCGAGCUACAAUAACAGGCUCAUGAUUUUUUUAGAUGCCAAGGUUAUGAAUACUCUUUUAUGAAUAUUUUCCUUUGAACUCAUUUCUCUUGAAGAAGAAAAAUAGCCCUACAUAUUGCAGGAUUGACAAUAACAGACAAAACGUACAAAUUGUUCUCUUAGGGGCAGUAAAAUGCUCCAAAAUGCACAUAGAAAAAUUCCAAAUGCAACCUGAUGUUUAUGGAGCACUGCCUUUGCAGCUAUAAUUUUUAGAAAGUAAUAUUUCUGACUGACAUGAAUUAUACAGAGCAUAUUUCAGAGACUAAUAUCAGGUUAAUGCCUUAAAAUGUCUCCGUUUAUGACAUCAUGGCUGCUUUUCCUAUAUCAGUGCAAACUCUUAGUGAGUAGAAUUUGAGGAUAUGUCUUUUCAAAGGAAGAAAACCUUCACUGAAUUAAGCUGCUUAUGGUUUUAUUUUUUCUUUUAUCCCAUUUCAACAUAUCCACCAACCUCCUCUAAAAAUAAUUCAACUAAUGUGAACUCAACAGAUUAUAGUAGAUCUCUUAUUAAUUUCAUUUUGCCUCCAAAGGAGCUUAUCAUUUAGGCUUAUAAUUAUGUAUGCAGUACUGUCGACUAAUGUUUAGGUUCCUCAUUAAAACUUCAUUUCAUUCUGUUUUAAUAUCAUCAGUCUGUUAGACCAUUUAUUUUCUCAUGUUAAAAAAUAUGUGUUUUCCCUGAACUCUUUCCAUAUGUUUUCUCUCAUCCAAAAAAUCCAGAAAACUCAGCUCCCUUUAAUCCUGCUUUGUGGCUUAGAUACUUUAGCCUGGAACCACUCGUGUUGAUUUGUAUAUACCCACACUUACGCAAAAAUAGCCUUCACUACGGCAGAGUAAUCAUUCUGCAUAGAAAUUAUGUGUCUCUGAAGCCUAUGUUGUCAGGUGAAUCGUGGCAGCAAUGACCUAAGAAUGCAUCCCCAGUUUGAAAUGACCUAUAAAAAUUUCAAGAUACAACUAUUGCUUUGCAUUUGGCAUCGGGAAUAUUCUGUAUAGUUCUUUUCAUGUAAAUGGGCAAUAUUCUAGAAUGGUUCCCAAGUAUAAGCUUUAGAGCUAGACUUCUUGGGUACAACUCCCACUAUUACCACUUACUAGUUAUGUAAUAUUGGAAAAUACACUUAACUACUCUGAGCAUCAUAAAGUAAGCUUACUAACACCUACCUCACACAAUUGUUGUGGGGAUUAAGUUAGUAAAACAUAUAAAGCAUAUGUGACUCUGUCUGGCACAGAGUUAGCACUCAGUCUAAGUGUUAGCUCUUAAUAUCAUUAAUUCA